GCUGGGCACGGUGGCUCAUGCCUGUAAUCCCAGUGCUUUGGGAGGCUGAGAUGGGUGUAUCACUAGAGGUCAGGAGUUCGAGACCAGCCUGGCCAAUAUGGUGAUACCCCAUUUCUA
ensembl:misc_RNA Metazoa_SRP Metazoan signal recognition particle RNA